UACCCAGACUCCUACGGGAGGCAGCAGUGGGGAAUAUUGCACAAUGGGGGAAACCCUGAUGCAGCAACGCCGCGUGAAGGAAGACGGUUUUCGGAUUGUAAACUUCUAUCAAUAGGGAAGAAAGAAAUGACGGUACCUAAAUAAGAAGCCCCGGCUAACUACGUGCCAGCAGCCGCGGUAAUACGUAGGGGGCAAGCGUUAUCCGGAUUUACUGGGUGUAAAGGGUGCGCAGGUGGCAGGGCAAGUCAGAUGUGAAAGCCCGGGGCUCAACCCCGGUAUUGCAUUUGAAACUGUCCGGCUAGAGUGCAGGAGAGGUAAGCGGAAUUCCUAGUGUAGCGGUGAAAUGCGUAGAUAUUAGGAGGAACACCAGUGGCGAAGGCGGCUUACUGGACUGUAACUGACACUGAGGCACGAAAGCGUGGGGAGCAAACAGGAUUAGAUACCCGAGUA
rnacentral:rRNA from 1 species